UCAAACUUGGUCAUUUAGAGGAAGUAAAAGUCGUAACAAGGUUUCCGUAGGUGAACCUGCGGAAGGAUCAUUACCAUUUAUUGAGGCUGGAUGAGGCGUUUGGCUUAGGCCUCACUCUCUCUUCCACCCCUCAAAUAGUUCAACCUUGUGUGAAUUGAGACCUUUUGGUGGUUUCUUUUUUCUCCUUUUAUUUAUUUAAAAGGGGGGAGAGAAGCAGCCGUGCCACGCGUGUGUGCGUGUUUGUUUUUUAGUUUGCGGUUUAUUUAGUUUUAAUUUGGGUGCCUCGCACUCAAACUAAAAACUAAAACUAAAAACUAAAAAAACUAGCGCACACACAUGUGCGCGCUGCGCCACCAAUCUUUUUUAAUUUGGCUCGUGGGUCAAUUAAACGUCUUGUGUUGAGGCCAAAACUAAAUAAAUGAGAAACAAAGAGAUAACUUACGACGGUGGAUCUCUUGGCUCGUGCAUCGAUGAAGAACGCAGC
rnacentral:misc_RNA from 1 species